GCAGCCAUGCCGCGUGAGUGAAGAAGGCCCUAGGGUUGUAAAGCUNUUUUACCCGCGAUGAUAAUGACAGUAGNGGGNGAAAAAGCCCCGGCUAACUUCGUGCCAGCAGCCGCGGUAAUACGAAGGGGGCGAGCGUUGUUCGGAAUUACUNGGUCGUAAAGCGUACGUGGGCGGUUUUGCAAGUUAGGCGUGAAAGCCCAGGGCUCAACCUUGCAAUUGCGUUUAAAACUGCAGAACUAGAAUCUCGGAGAGGAUAGCGGAAUUUCCAGUGUAGAGGUGAAAUUCGUAGAUAUUGGAAGGAACACCAGUUGCGUNNANGGCGGCUAUCUGGACGAGUAUUGACGCUGAGGUACUAAAGCGUGGGGAGCAAACAGGAUUAGAUACCCUGGUAGUCCACGCCGUAAACGAUGUAUGUUAUCUGUCGGGAUUUAAUCUCGGUGGCGAAGCUAACGCGAUAAACAUACCGCCUGGGGAGUACGGCCGCCUGGUUAAAACUCAAAGGAAUUGACGGCU
rnacentral:rRNA from 1 species